rnacentral:lncRNA from 1 species
GCCCCCACUCACAUGACGGCGCACUGGGCGAAGGACAGGUAGUUCACCAGCACGUCCAGCCCCUUGUUCUCGUCAUUGAGGAACUCGCGCACCCAUCUACAGCGGGACACGGUGCUCAGCGCCGGGGGCACCCCAAGGCCACCACCCCACAGCAUGACCCCAAAGCCAGGACCCCAAAACCAGGACCUCAAAGCCAGGACCCCAAAACCAAGACCCCAAAGCCAGGACCUCAAAGCCAGGACCCCAAAGCUAGGACUCUAAAACCAGGACCCCAAAACCAAGACCCCAAAACCAGGACCCCAAAACCAAGACCCCAAAGCCAGGACCUCAAAGCCAAGACCCCAAAGCUAGGACUCUAAAACCAGGACCCCAAAACCAGGACCCCAAAACCAGGACCCCAAAACCAGGACCCCAAAGUUAGGACCCCAAAACCAUGAUCCCAAAACCAGGACCCCAAUGCCAUGACUCAAACCCAUGAGCCCAAAGUCAUGAUCCCGGUGCCAGUACCGCAAAACCAGGACUCCAAAACCAGGACCCCAAAGCCAUGACCCCAAAACCAAGACCCCAAAACCAGGACUCCAAAACCAGGACCCCAAAGCCAGGACCCUACAAACCAGGACCCCAAAACCAGGACCCCAAAACCAGGACCCCAAAGCCAUGACCCCAAAGCCACGACCCCAAAGCCACGACCCCAAAGCCACGACCACAACACCAACAACCCUAAUGCCAAGACCCCAAAACCAGGACCCCAGCGCCACCCCCCCAAACCACGACCCCAAAGCCAGAAGCUCAAGGCCAUGACCCCAAAGUCACGACCCCGGCACAUUACCCCAACGCCGCGACCCGAACACCACGACCCCAAAGCCAGGACCCCAAAGCCACAACCUCUGCCCAUGGGGACAUUGGGACCGGCCCCACAAACGGGGGGAGGGCAGGUGGGGGCUCCCAGCCCCGGUGACAGUUGCAGCCCCCCACUAUCACCCCAUAGCAGCAGCACGGGGCGUUAUCUAUGGGGCGCAGGGAGGGAGCAGCACCACGUGGGAAACGGGGCCGCGCUCGGCAGCGGGAACCGGUGGCGAUGGGGUCUGUGUGGGGCAGGGGUGGGUGUGGGGUCGGCGUGGGGUGUGCAUGGGUGUAGGGUGCACGGGGUGUGCGUGGAUAUGGGGUGUGUGCAUGCAUGGGGUGCAUGGGGUGUGCAUGGAUAUGGGGUGUGUGCACGCACGGGGUGCAUGGGGUGCAUGCAUGGGGUGUGCGUGGCUAUGGGGUGUGUGCAUGCAUGGGAUGCAUAUGGAUACGGGGUGUGUGCAUGCAUGGGGUGCAUGUGGAUAUGGGGUGUGUGCAUGCACGGGAUGAAUGGGGUGUGCAUGGCUAUGGGGUGUGUGCGUGCAUGGGGUGCAUGGGGUGUGCAUGGCUAUGGGGUGUGUGCAUGCAUGGGGUGCAUGGGGUGCACGUGGAUAUGGGGUGUGUGCAUGCACGGGGUGCAUGGGGUGUGCAUGGCUAUGGGGUGUGUGCAUGCAUGGGGUGCAUGGGGUGCAUGCAUGGGGUGCAUACGGAUAUGGGGUGUGUGCGUGCAUGGGGUGCAUGUGGAUAUGGGGUGUGUGCAUGCAUGGGGUGCAUGGGGUGUGCAUGGCUAUGGGGUGUGUGCAUGCAUGGGGUGCAUAGGGAUAUGGGGCGUGUGCAUGCACGGGAUGCAUGGGGUGUGCAUGGCUAUGGGGUGUGUGCAUGCAUGGGGUGCAUAUGGAUACGGGGUGUGUGCAUGCAUGGGGUGCAUGUGGAUAUGGGGUGUGUGCAUGCAUGGGGUGCAUGGGGUGUGCAAGGCUAUGGGGUGUGUGCAUGCAUGGGGUGCAUGGGGUGCAUGUGGAUAUGGGGUGUGUGCAUGCACGGGAUGCAUGGGGUGUGCAUGGCUAUGGGGUGUGUGCAUGCACGGGGUGCGUGGGGUGCGCAUGCAUGGGGUGCGCGUGCAUGGGGUGCAUGGGGUGCAUGUGGAUAUGGGGUGUGUGCGUGCACAGGGUGCAUGGGGUGUGCAAGGCUAUGGGGUGUGUGCGUGCAUGGGGUGCAUGGGGUGCACGUGGAUAUGGGGUGUGUGCAUGCAUGGGGUGCAUGGGGUGUGCAUG